rnacentral:rRNA from 1 species
UACGAGGGGGGGCUAGCGUUGUUCGGAAUUACUGGGCGUAAAGCGCGCGCAGGCGGUCCUUUAAGUCGGGGGUGAAAGCCCAGAGCUCAACUCUGGAACUGCCUUCGAAACUAGAGGACUUGGGUACGGGAGAGGUGAGUGGAAUUCCGAGUGUAGAGGUGAAAUUCGUAGAUAUUCGGAAGAACACCAGUGGCGAAGGCGGCUCACUGGCCCGUUACCGACGCUCAGGCGCGACAGCGUGGGGAGCAAACAGG